GACGAACGCUGGCGGUGUGCUUAACACAUGCAAGUCGAGCGGUAAGGCCCUUUCGGGGGUACGACGAGCGGCGAACGGGUGAGUAACACGUGGGUGACCUGCCCUCAGCUCUGGGAUAAGCCUGGGAAACCGGGUCUAAUACUGGAUAUGACUCCAUGACGCAUGUUGUGGGGUGGAAAGCCUUGUGCGGCUGAGGAUGGGCCCGCGGCCUAUCAGCUUGUUGGUGGGGUGAGGCCUACCAAGGCGACGACGGGUAGCCGGCCUGAGAGGGCGACCGGCCACACUGGGACUGAGACACGGCCCAGACUCCUACGGGAGGCAGCAGUGGGGAAUCUUGCGCAAUGGGCGAAAGCCUGACGCAGCGACGCCGCGUGAGGGAUGACGGCCU
rnacentral:rRNA from 1 species